ensembl:lncRNA
CCAGGGUGGACCGGAGGGUAACCUGACCCCCUGGACCAGGAAUGGGGGCCCAGGGUGGACCGGAGGGUAACCUGACCCCCUGGACCAGGAAUGGGGGCCCAGGGUGGACCGGAGGGUAACCUGACCCCCUGGACCAGGAAUGGGGCCCCAGGGUGGACCGGAGGGUAACCUGACCCCCUGGACCAGGAAUGGGGGCCCAGGGUGGACCGGAGGAUGUUGGAGAGCUGACAGCGGAGCCAUGGUGGGAAGCUGAUGGAGCUGUGGUGGAGGUGCUGCCUGACGAAGCCUGACUCUAAAGAAGCUGAUGACCAACCAGGAACGAGACGAGGACUACGAUGGGACUGCUUAAGUCUUCUGAAGGAGUCCUUGGCUGAGGAGGGCUGAUGGGGGAACCGUACAUCUGGAGGAAGACCAUGGAUCUGCCGGCCAAUAAGGAGUACUGGGAAGUUUGCAUAACUAUCGUUUACAGUAAAUCGGACAUUACAGCAAACCAUAUUUUGCCGCACAAUUUAAACCACUGCUGUGUGACCAGACUAACUCCCAAUGUUUGAUACCAGACAUGGAGGGGUACCCACCGGUGGGUUGCAGACCAUGGCUCUGUGGUGGAGGGGAGCUUACGGAGUUGUGCUGAUGACCACCUCCUGGGACCAGAAUUCCUUUGCCGAGGAGAGCUGACGGAGGAGCGAGGCACCAGGAGGAAGACCGUGACUCCGUCUACCAGCCAGUGGAAACUAGGACUCCGGGAUGGAGGGGAGUGAUGGAGGGAGCCGUGCUCAGGAUCUGCUGGGGGAGGAUGUCCCUCGUGGCGUAAUGGCACCCGUCUCUGAGAUGACUCAGACGACCCACCAGGAUCUGCUCGGAGGACUACGAUGUGACUGCUGAAUUCUCUGGAAGAAUAAAGCUGCACCCACCCAUGGCUCAACUAAUGGUGUUAACCAGACCAGGAACCUUGGCCGAGACCUGAAGGAGGAGCCGCGCAUCUGGAGGAACACCACGAGGCUACCUGCCAAGGAUUACUGGUGCGGUUGAAAUGCUGUGUUCGGUCCGGGGGAAGACACAACUGAGCCGUAUCUCACCUGCAUCUGAACCUCUGGAGCUCUUCAGAGUGACCAACCCGCGGCGCCGCAUCACAGCUCCUCGUCGCUGGCCUGUGGAUUCAUCUUCUAACCCACUUGCAGAACGUGACUUUGUCACCAUCUGCUGCACGUCAGGAGGCUACGUGUUCCAUCGAUGGUUUCCUUCCUCCCCACAGUGGGAGUGUUCCUUGUUUUUUCAAGUCGUUGGGGUUCAGAGUUAGGGACAGAGUUAGGGAAAGAUGGUUAAUUCAUGGCCUGGUUUCACGACAAACUGCUCGAAUUGGGACACACCAGUCCACCCCAAAAUGUUUCAAUGUGCACAUGCUUGUUCAAAUGUAUACAAAGGUGUUUUAUAAUAUAAAAUACUAUUCAAAUCCUA